rnacentral:rRNA from 1 species
UACGUAGGUGACAAGCGUUGUCCGGAUUUACUGGGCGUAAAGAGCGCGCAGGCGGUCGAUCAAGUCGAGUGUGAAAGCCCCCGGCUCAACUGGGGAGGGUCAUUCGAUACUGAUCGACUCGAAGGCAGGAGAGGGUAGUGGAAUUCCCGGUGUAGUGGUGAAAUGCGUAGAUAUCUGGAGGAACACCGGUGGCGAAGGCGACGUCCUGGACCGGCAUUGACGCUGAGGCGCGAAAGCCAGGGGAGCAAACGGG